ACUGUACUAUGGACCAGAUAGUCUUUUUCAGACUGGAACAAAAGUGGUCAGGCAGUCAACAUUUUUCAGGUGGCAAAAGUAUUUGCUGAUAUCACUGUAAUGCCAAGUCAUGGAAAAUAGUCUUUUUUAAGCUUUACAGGAAAAGAAAUAUCUGUACAUAAACACUGAAGUUCUCUCUUUAGAACUUCAAUUGCUAGCUUCAGCCUUGUGCCAUCCAAAAAGUGUCCCAAUUCUUAAAAUCCCUAUAGGUAUAUCAAUGUUCAUUAAGAAAAAGAUGAAUUUAUUCAUUAAAAAUGAGGUAAAUGAUCUUAAACUGGGAAAGCAUUAGAUUUUCAUGUCUCAAGUCCCUACAUUAAAUGACUUUGUUAUCAUGAAGAAAGCAAAAAGAAUGUUAAUGUUUUAAGAAGAUAUAAAACAAAAAUUGACUGCAGCUUGAAAGUUUCAUGAAAGUAAUUCACAUUUUUUUUUGAAUGAUGCCAAAUCUAAGACUUUUGCAAGCUGCUUUAAUGAAAACUGUGUUCAUUAUAUUAUGUUAUGUAUUCAGUAACAGUAGUGUAAUACAGUGUAUUAGAAUGAAUAACUGAAAGCUGGAAGAGACAUUUAUGCAGCUUGCAAAUGUGUUAUGAAAGUACUUAAUCUGAAACAAACACAAUUGUAUAUGCUCUUAUUAUGUACCUUUCAGAUUUAGCUUUGACAGAGUAUCCUAGGGAGCAUUCUAAGAUAUUGAGCCAAAUUGAAUACAUUGCCUCAAUUCAUCCACAUUUCAAGUAGGUAUGCCUUGUUUUUUUUUAAGGAAACUUUUCCCAGUGAAUGCAGAUACUGUCAUGAGGUAGUCCAUGCUACCACUUCUUUCAGGCAAAUAGCUGCAUCCUGAAUUACAAUUUAUUUUUUCCCUCUGAGUUUGCUUAAUGAUGUUAUUCAUAGAGAGAUAAUUUGUCAUAGUAUGAGGCUGCCUGCUACUGAAGAACUCAGCAGGGGCUGGGAGCUGCUGCCUCUCUCAGGUCACUCUGCUGUGAGGCAACAGCUUGUAUGCCUGUAGGAACUCACUUACACCCACCCCUCUCCCCAAAGAAAUGCCACCCCUCUGUUCCCUCUGUCAUGUUUCUUUUUCAGUGCUGGGUAGCAUCUCAAAAAUCCCCAGAGAAACAGUAAAAAUACUUCUAUGCAGUGAUGUCUCCACCCAAAUAUGGAUUUUGUAAGUGGAAAGACUGUUCUUCCUGAAUGUAUAAAGUUGUUCUUUGACACAUGGAUCUAUAUCCAUCAAUGGGUACAAUAAAUGUUAAGGAAGAGGACACUUUAGUGGCCAAAGUGUCAGCCUAAAAGUUAAUAGUGAUUACUACUGUUAUCAAACCAAGCAAGUUUGCAUCUUGUCCAUAAAAUCUAAAAUAAUAAUAAACAAGCAAAUAAAUAAAUAAAUAAAUAAAUAUUUUUCAGUGUCUUGCCAGUUGUCUGUCUUUCAUAUCUAGAUGUAGUGACUGUGCACAUAUGUGGCUAUGAAAUGGUGCUUUCUGACAUCGGUAUUACUUGGAGUGGCAGGAUCAUACACCUCUCUUUAACCUACCUAUAUUUUCACUUAAGUUCUCAAAUACCUUUGAUUAUUAUUCUACAGCUCUAUAUCUGUGGCUUGUUUUAAAAAUAGGUGGGAACUGUAGACCUUUUUUUUUUUUUCAGCCUGAGGAACCAGAAAAUUAUUAAAGGAUUAGAUGAAUGUUUCCUCCACCAUUAUAGAAUAAAUUGAACUUGAAUCAGUGGUUCAUUUUAUAAAAUGGAUGCUAUAAUAUGUUCAUUUAGUACUACCUAAUGGCUUUGGAGAAACACACAAGCACAAUAUUUUAUUAGGAAGAGCUACAAAAAGGUGUGGAAUAAAAAACUGAGGAGUCUAGUUAGGAUGAAAAAAAAAAAAAACCAACUCUCAAUCUCUUACGCUUCAUGCAGCCAUCUGGAGUUGAACACAUCUGUGUAAUCCUCUACCUUCUUCACUUUCUUUAAUUAGCAACCCAUGUAUUUACUGAAGUCCUCAGCAACAAACUAUUGCUAAAGUGUAGAGAAAUGUGCAACUGCCUUAGCAACAGGUUAUAAAAUUUUGCUUUUUGAAAUUGUACUUCAGUGACUCUGUAUCAUCAGAUUUCCCAAAAAAUGCUAAUUUGUAGGAAAUGACUUAGACUAUCAUGGAGGGAGAUAAAGAAGGACUGAGUGGUGGACAGGUUUUUGAAAGAAAGGAAACAAAAGUUCUCUUAGACUUAUGGCUUCACUUGAAGUAGUGUUGCUUUCUUAAGAUGAAUGGGAGUUACUGAAUGGGUUCAGUGACUUUGAAAACAAGGUUAUAUAAACUCUGCAGGGAUCCUUGCUUUUCUUCAUGUCCUCGUCACCAGUGCCACGCAGAAGCCAUGUGUGUCAAACAUAUUGUAGUUUCCUAUCUACUAAUGCUUUGUGCCUUCCGUACUAUUUAUCUUGAACUAUGGAUUGCAACCUUUGUUUUGAAUUACAUUCUUCCUGCAUGUCUUACCAAGAUUGAUUACAUGGCUAAAAUUAGACAGAAACAUACCCUUUUUGAGUGAGGGGAAAGGGAGAAAGAGGUAAAAUCUACUAUUUAUGUUGUUCCAUACUGAAGUUGUCAAUAGUUUUAUCUGUUGUAGUACAGUUUUAUAUAGAAUUCCAGAAAGCUACGCUUCUCCCUCCUCCCUCAGCAUGAAAUUAGUUGUUAGCUUAUUUCUAACUGUUUUUCAUGCAAUGAUUUGUUGGAGAGAGUGACUUUUCUAUAUUAUUUGAGGACACUUUAUCAAGAAUUGAUAAUUUAGAUUCUUUUUAAUUUACUGCUUAAAAUUGCAUGUUCAUUUCUCUACAUCACAAGAAUUGCCCCCCAUAAGUGGAAAAAUAGCCAUGGAUAUUCAAGUUUAUUAUAGAUCAUGUUUAUAUAUAUGUACAUAUAUCUUUGUGUGGAAAGUGAAAUUCUAAUAGUAAUUAUUUCAGCAUUGUUUUACACAACAAUUAAAUUUAACAGUAAUAGUCCAAAAGAGUAGCCUUAGUAAUUAAAGGAAACUUAUGACAAUUAAAUCUAAGUUUAUCUUAAUUCUGGUAGUAGUGUAGAUCAAUUUAAGUAACAAGGAGUGAACUAAGUCCAUCUACUUUUUCAUCCCUGUCAGAAUUACUUACACAAGUUCCAGACAAUUACAUUUAUGCAAUUCUGUUGCAAUCCCAAUUAAAGAGAGUGGGGUGGCCCCACAUUAUCUAGGAUUUUAUUUUGUCUAUGGAAUCUUUAUUACUGGUGAUGACGAGUGAAAAGGAAAGAGCACAGUUUGGUUUUCAGCAGCCAGGGUUUUUGUUGACUAAUACUUAGGAACAAAACCAAAACAAAUAAUGCCUUUGUAAACUAGUAACAGAUGAACUGAAUGUCCCUUAAAAAUACUAAGUAUGAGUACCUAUUCAGAAAUUGAUUUUCAGAAAGUAUCAUCAGUUAGACACCAGGUGAUACAGAGUUUGUGCUAGUGAAGUUACUAUAAAAUACGUAAAGGGAUAGAUUAGAUUAAACAAUGAUUAAUGCACCUACUGUUACCCUGUUCUUUACUGGACUUAGUGGUCAGGACCUCAGAUGAUAAUUAGAUACACAAUGAAUAACUUGUGACAAUCAUUUUUUUUCUAAAAAAAAGAUUAAUUCAUUUUCCUGAGGAAGUUACCAACCCUUAAAUCAAAGCUGAAGCUGAACUCUACUGAGUUUGAAUCACCAUAUUUUUCUUAAUGCAGUUAAUUGGACCACCAACUAAGAAAUGCCUUUAUCUGCUCAGAGGAUGCUGUAAUCAACAUUGAUAAUAGUUAGGCGGGAUUUUGUUACACUUUCAUAGUCCUCUUCAAACAAACAAACAAAAGGCUCCUGAGUACAAAGUGCCCCAUUACGUGCAUAGUCACCAGAUUUAUGAAAAAAAAAAAAAAGUAUUUUUCAUUUAACUGCAUGGUGCUCAUUAAUGUUGACAAAGAUGCACAUGAUAAUGUAUGCAAAACUGUUACGCACAAAGAAAUAUGUCAAGUCAAACCAAAGACCUUAUAAGCAUGGUCAGUCUGUGCACAAAGGUAAAAAUUGCUGUCUGAAUUCCUUCUGAAAUACUCAGUUCAUGGGUGGGCAGUAGCAAGUAUUUUGAAUUGGAAAAAAAAAAAAAAAAAGGAAAAUAUCUCAGUUCUCAUAGGUAACUAUGGUUAUUCACUGAAGUUUCCUUCUCAUAGGUUUUGAGGUGUGAAAGCUGUGCAUGGCUGUCUGGAGCAUGGUUUGACGCUGUUGCUACUGCAGAAGUGCACCACCCAUUGCUUCACGCACUGACAUCCACUGUUUGAUUUCCAUAAACAUUCAGUAAACAUUAGUGAAUGUCAAUGGGUGCCAUUAUUCCAAGUCAGACUGCCUCUCUGCUGCCACCUGUUACAUGACAGCAGCCUGUAAUAGAAUACCGGCAGGUAGGUUCAAUCUCUACUGCCGUACCAAUAACUUCUGUGCCUGACAUCAUGGGCCAACAUAAUAACACAGGAGGUGUUACUUUCAGAGAAGCUCUUAUAGUAGAUUUGAGAUUCAUCUCACCUAACUUUCAACAUCUACAGUAUCUCAGUUAGAUGGCCUUUAUAGUCAAAAGAAAGAAAGAGACAUUUUUAAUGUGUGGCUCAUGUGACCUGUUUCUAAUGUCUACUUUAGGAAUAGAUGAGACAUGUCAUACAAGUAACUAUUUCUAUCCAUUAAUUACAAAUAAAGCCUAGAGGGACUAGAUCAAAUGUAAACUUACUGUGUUUGUAUUUAUUCAAAUUAAGAAUCUCAAUUUAGUGAUUCAAAUUAAUUAAAGGCAUUCACUUCUUUGCGGAGCAGGCAUACAAGUCAUAUUUAUCAUGUAAUCCUUAACUUGAGAAUAUAUUUUUUUCUUAUAUAAUGGUGAUUGGAGUUUGUAUAUUUCCCCACAAAUAAUCAAUACCUUCUGAGAUAGCAUACUGUUGCGGAAAGAUUGAGAAAGAGAGUGACAGGAUAAGACAAAUGAACAAUUGUAGUAGGAAUUGCAUGAAAUCCAAAGUGUUAUUUAUAUUGAAAUCCCCUAAACAAAAUAAAAACAAAGCUGAAAUAAUUUCCAGUGACACUUACUAAAACAAACAGUCCAACAAAUAGAAAAAAAAAUAGAAAAAUUCUCUGAUAAUUUAUUUUCUUAGACCAGGUUUGCCCUUAAAAAAAUUUGCUGACAUUGCUGGGCUGAGGAAGGGUGAGAUAUUUUCACCAACAUGACUGACAUAAAUAUGAUAGCAGCUCUCUGGAUGUAUAAAUGCUUACAAAACAGAGAAAAGAAGAAAGAAAAAAAAAGUCAUUUUGCAAGUACAGCCUAUUCUUUUCCAGGAAUAAAACACCUGCUACCUCCAUAGUUAAGAUUUGCUAGUGUAACUGUAGCGUACAGCUUUAUCAGCAAACCCCUUUAAAUCUAUUGAAGACCUUCCUGGCCUUUGGAAGAAUCUGACCUUAUAUUCUUGAUUUUGUUAACCUCAUGAAUUAUCUCCAGUGAACAACUUUCUUCUUAAGUGAACACUUGAAAAAUAUCCCCAUGUGAUCUUCAGACCGAGUUCAUUUGACCUUUUUUGAAGACCUUUUUUUUUCUAUACAAUCAAUUUACACUGGUCUCUGGAGUGGUCACUUAUCAGAUAUGUAUAUUCAUUCAGUAAAGAUGUACUGAAUAUGUGCCAGAUUUUUCUGACUUCCUCUUCUCAUUUGUGAUGAACAGUAUGAACUCACUUUCUGACAUAUUGUGUUUUGUCAUUGUGAAUGACCUGAAUUUAUCCAGGUGUAUGCUAUACAAAGCUUUUAUCUAUUCCUUUUCAGUGGAUGGGAGAAAGACAAUUGAACUUCAGGCAAAUGUCAUGGUUAAUACUUGAGGAUAUUUAGUUCAAGUGUAUGGUAGGAUUUGCAUAUUUGAGAAAUUUAUUUUAUACUUCCUGGGCAAUACCUGGCUCCGUACGCUUCUGUAAAGUUUUCAGAAAUUCUUUAUGGCAUGUAGAGAGGAAGAUGCAUGGUAUUAUGUGCCCUGGGCAAGAGGUGGCUCUGUAUCCCUCACAGCAGCACAUUUCUUACGGCGUUUUGAGUAUAUCUGCUUUUAAUACAGUCAGAGUGCAAGGGGGUGGUUUGACAUUAUUUUCUUGCCAGCUUAGGGAUAAUACCACAACAUAAGUAUGGACAGGAUUUAAAAUGACAUAAGUGUACCAGUGUAAAUCCAGUUUGUAAAAUCUCUAAUUUUUAUAAUUUUGCUGGUUUUAUUUUAUUUUCAAUUUAAAUGUAAAAUACAAAACUAUGAGACAAACCCCAAACUCAACCAUUCUUACUCCAUUAUGAGAGCAUUCAUAUGAGGGGUUAUGACAGUGAUAUAUAUGUUGUAAGUAAAAAGAACGAUGUUUCACAACACAGACACGCCCUUAGAGACAAUCAUUUUAUAGCUUAACGAGCCUUUCCUGCUUUUCUGAAUAUGGCAAAACCCUGCUGCUCUGCUUAGGGGAAUCCUGAUUUUUACCCCUAUCCAGUUUAUCUCUCUAUUAAAAUAUGGUUAUGCUGGGAUUUUCAUGCAUAACUUUGUCUUGAUGGCUGCUUUUCCUCUGUCAGUACAACAAAUAGCUCUGCUAUGUUAGAUAUAUAGAAAUGAUAAAAGCUGAAGCCAGAGCAAGGGACGUGGUUCUGUGAGAUAAAAGAAUGAUGCUGUUUCAGCUGACCUCAGAUUUCUGUAGAAUCUAUGUUUCAUUUUGUAACGAAAGUACUAAGCCAUGGCUUGAAACAGUGAUUGAGCACCUGGUGGGAUGACAGGGCCAACCCAGGUGUGCUCAGGUGCAUGCAAUGCAGCUGACUGACUGGAAGAGGUGGAGCCAGGAUUCAUCCCUUCCUGGACCUCAUUUAAGGGUUGGCAGUGAAAGCAGGUGAUCUUGUUAGGGAUCUUAGUGUUUGCCUGAGGCCUUUUGAAUGUAGGAAUAUUCUUUCCUUUGUUUCUGUGCCUGUUGUUUUUCAGCAAGUUCUUACUUGCUGUAGCUUAGGACUUAGCUGCUCUGCUGCCAUUGCUGUGCUUUUUAUUGCAUUACAGUGUUAUAUGGUUACUAUGAUUUUUGAGGGCUACAACAGUUUGGAGCACAAGUUCAGUGUGAUGAGUAUAGCCUAGUACAAAAAAAAAAAACAA
ensembl:lncRNA